rnacentral:rRNA from 1 species
GCCCGCUACAGAAACUACAAAGGAAUUGACGGGACCCCCGCACAAGCGGUGGAUCAUGUUGUUUAAUUCGAUGAUACGCGAAGAACCUUACCAGGUCUUGACAUCCCCCGCGAUGCUUUAGAGAUAAAGCGGAGGUAUUCGGGGAGACAGGUGGUGCAUGGUUGUCGUCAGCUCGUGUCGUGAGAUGUUGGGUUAAGUCCCGCAACGAGCGCAACCCCUAUUGCUAGUUACCAUCAUUAAGUUGGGGACUCUAGCGAGACUGCCAGUGAUAAACUGGAGGAAGGUGGGGAUGACGUCAAAUCAUCAUGCCCCUUAUGACCUGGGCUACAAACGUGAUACAAUGGCUGGAACAAAGGGAUGCGAAGCAGUGAUGUGGAGCGAAACCCAUAAAAACAGUCUCAGUUCGGAUUGAAGUCUGCAACUCGACUUCAUGAAGUCGGAAUCGCUAGUAAUCGCGGAUCAGAACGCCGCGGUGAAUACGUUCUCGGGGUUU